rnacentral:rRNA from 1 species
UACGGGGGGAGCAAGCGUUGUUCGGAUUUACUGGGCGUAAAGGGCGCGUAGGCGGUAGCACAAGUCAGUUGUGAAAUCUCCGGGCUUAACUCGGAAAGGUCAACUGAUACUGUGCGACUAGAGUGCAGAAGGGGCAACUGGAAUUCUCGGUGUAGCGGUGAAAUGCGUAGAUAUCGAGAGGAACACCUGCGGCGAAGGCGGGUUGCUGGGCUGACACUGACGCUGAGGCGCGAAAGCCAGGGGAGCGAACAGG